rnacentral:lncRNA from 1 species
AGGGGCCAGGCCGCCGAGGGGCGGAGGCGACGGGUUGACCCCGGCCCUGAUGCUGUGUGACCCCGAGUCGGCCAAUACCCUCUCUGGGCCUCAGCUGCCUCCUCUGUACGAUGAGAAGGGGCGCCCGAUGGCCUCCGCAACCCCUUCCCGGCCCGCCUCGAUGACCCCUCGAUGGAGGGAGCCGGGCCCGGGGCGGGUCUGGAGCUGGAGCUGCAGCUGGUGCAGAGUCAGUGUCUCCAGAGGGACCCUCCUCCGUCUGGGGGACAAGGUGGGAAGGGGCCGGGGGGUCGGGCUGGUCCCCUGGCCCAAGGGCAGCACCGGCCUCCCGCGUAACCCGCAUCUCCUCCCCAGGUCUGGCUGGUCGGGACUCCGGCCUCGCCACAGCGGGGAGAGCCGAGGGGUCGGAGGGCGUGAGCGGCGGCUGGACGCAGGGCCCUCCCCACAAAUUACUAACAUUCCAAGAUGUGGCUGUCAAUUUCACCCGGGAGGAAUGGGGUUUGUUGGAACCAGCUCAGAAGGACUUGUUCAGGGAUGUGAUGCUGGAGAACUAUGAGAAUUUUGUCUCCCUGGGUAAGGACGGCUUCUUUCUCAUGAAUCAUCUGGCCAUUGGGAUUCUUGGCAUUCUUUCUUCCUAUAGGUUAUGGAGUGUCUGAAGAAGUGCUUCAGUAAGGUUGAACUUUUUGUAUGAGGCUAUUCUUAGGAUUAUAUAUAAUAUGGAAACAUUCCUAAAUCUUUUGGUGUAAAGAAGCACAGUGUUUCUGC